CCUUUACUGUAGCUUUGUAUUGGACUUUGAACAGAUCUGUGUAGGAUAGGUGGGAGGCUUUGAAGUGAGGUCGCUAGAUCUCAUGGAGCCAACGUUGAAAUACCACCCUGGUGUGUUUGAGGUUCUAACCUAGGUCCAUUAUCUGGAUCGGGGACAGUGCAUGGUAGGCAGUUUGACUGGGGGCGGUCUCCUCCCAAAGCGUAACGGAGGAGUUCGAAGGUACGCUAGUUACGGUCGGACAUCGUGACGAUAGUGCAAUGGCAUAAGCGUGCUUAACUGCGAGACUGACAAGUCGAGCAGAUGCGAAAGCAGGACAUAGUGAUCCGGUGGUUCUGUAUGGAAGGGCCAUCGCUCAACGGAUAAAAGGUA
rnacentral:rRNA from 1 species